rnacentral:rRNA from 1 species
UACGAAGGGGGCUAGCGUUGCUCGGAAUCACUGGGCGUAAAGCGCACGUAGGCGGCUUUUUAAGUCAGGGGUGAAAUCCUGGAGCUCAACUCCAGAACUGCCUUUGAUACUGGCGACCUUGAGUCCGGGAGAGGUGAGUGGAACUGCGAGUGUAGAGGUGAAAUUCGUAGAUAUUCGCAAGAACACCAGUGGCGAAGGCGGCUCACUGGCCCGGUACUGACGCUGAGUUGCGAAAGCGUGGGGAGCAAACAGG